rnacentral:rRNA from 1 species
UCAGGAUGAACGCUGGCGGCGUGCUUAAUACAUGCAAGUCGAACGAAGCACUUUGACAGAUCCCCUCGGGGUGAAGAUGAUUGUGACUUAGUGGCGGACGGGUGAGUAACGCGUGGGGAACCCGCCUCGUGCUGGGGGAUAACAGUUAGAAAUGACUGCUAAUACCGCAUAAGCGCACAGUAAGGCAUCUUACAGUGUGAAAAGAUUUAUCGGCAUGAGAUGGACCCGCGUCUGAUUAGGUAGUUGGCGGGGUAACGGCCCACCAAGCCCGCGAUCAGUAGCCGACUUGAGAGAGUGAUCGGCCACAUUGGGACUGAGACACGGCCCAGACUCCUACGGGAGGCAGCAGUGGGGAAUAUUGGACAAUGGGGGAAACCCUGAUCCAGCGAACCGCCGCGUGAGUGAAGAAGUAUUUCGGUAUGUAAAGCUCUAUCAGCAGGGAAGAUAAUGACAGUACCUGACUAAGAAGCCCCGGCUAACUACGUGCCAGCCGCAGC